rnacentral:lncRNA from 1 species
UUAUGAGCCGUCCUCCCCUCAGCAGCCUCCACUGGUGGCUGAACACCUGUUUUGUGACCUGUCAGUGACCGAGAGCAGAGAGAGCAACAGAAACAGAGAGCACAGCGCCAGCAACAGCUCCAGAAACAGCUGGAAAGCUUUAGACCAACAAGGUCUGCUGGAGACAGGGAGCCUGCCGCUGAGAAGACUGAUGUUCUUUAUGACACUGAGGCCUCUCACCUACAAUCAGUUAAUACUCUGCCUGCUGAUAUGGAGGAUAAGGAGUGCUUGCUGCUGACUGUAUGCCUCUCCAGUCCCGGCCUGGUAGCCAGCAGCAGUCAUCAUUGGAAAGCACCAACAGUGGAGUCAGCCACAACCAAAUCCCAUAUAUACAAUGCUCUGGUUGCUUGGUUUCUGUCUUUGGUGAAUAUUUAUUUGACUAGUCCUUGACAACGUCAUUCAACUGAGAUCAUCUGAUUAUUUUUACUCUGUUUGAGAUGGAGUCCAUGUCUUACUGAGGCCUCUAACUUGUGUGUUGUAGGUUGGAGCACCAGACCCUCAAGGGGAUGAUGACAGGGCUGCUGUACCUUUCUGGGUGGCCGGCCUACAGCAGCUGUGGACAGAGGAUGGACUGGCUCUACACAUCUGUGCUGUGUCCCACGGAGAGAGCCUACAACUUGUCCGAAAACCCCGGAAACGGGGUGUGGAUAAGGGUCAUAGUGUGUUCCAGCAGCGUGUCUGCAGGUUCCUCUCUCAGACCUCCCUCAGAGCCAUCUCCCAUUGGCUGCCGCAGCUCAGGAGCCUAUUAGACCAAGAGGCCUAUCCCCCAACCGUCCACAUACCUGCCUCCUGCCUGGACAGUUUUAUCUCUGUCAACUCAGACAAAAUGGCUGUGAAGAGGACCUUCGGUCUGAACCCAGGCUUCUACUGGCAGACUGUGGAGACUCAGGAGCUCAGCUGUCAGAGGCCUGAGACCAUGUGCACUCAGCAGCUACACACAGAGGUAAGAACAUCUCGUCUCAGCUGUUCCAAAACUCCUUGGUAUCGUCUAACCUCAGGGUUAAUACCCCAUGGUCAUGGGAUGAGGAAAUCAACCAUACAGUUUUUUUCUUCUUCUCCUCACAGAUAGCUGUUGCUCUGGGAUACACGUCUUUGUUCCUGCAUCCCCUGGUGGUUCACCACACCCUCCAGCUUCUCCACAGCUCAGGCCUGGAUGUGUGUGGCCUCCGCCUCCUUUACCCUCCUCCUGGCCUUCUGACCAACAGCGCCGGUAAAAUGUCUAUUAACUAAUAAACUUCUAUUCUAUUCUUAUCUAGUUUUAUUUUACCUUUAUUUAACUAGGCAAGUCAGUUAAGAACAAAUUCUUAUUUUCACUAGGAACAGUGGGUUAACUGCCUGUUCAGGGGCAGAACGAAAGAUUUGUACCUUGUCAGCUCGGGGGUUUGAACUUGCAACCUUCUGGUUACUAGUCCAACGCUCUAACCACUAGGCUACGCUGCUGCCCCUAGUCUGCAGAUCUUCAGUGGCCUAGACUGGAAUGAUUCAGUAAGUUAUAGUAAGUAUGUCUCUGAUUCAGGCAGGGUAUCCUACGGGCAGGGAGAUGAUGGGGCCGAUGAGCCCGUCCUUGCCCUGGCUGUCCGAGGGCCUCACGCCUGCACUGUGUGGCAGGAUGUAACAGGCCCUUCAGACCCCCUGCUGGCUAGGAAGACAGACCCGGCAUCCAUCAACGCCCUGCACUACAGCAGCAAGAACUUGCCCCUCUUCUACUCCCCUCGCCUGGCCAGCAGUGUGCACAGGGAACUGGUCACGUGGUUCGCAGGGAGAGUUCCAGGGAAUAAUUCCCAGAACCCUGACCAGGCUCCAACUGACAGGUGUGUUUGUAGUCCAGAGCCAUCCUGAUGUCUCACAACCAUCACUCAAACAUUAC